rnacentral:rRNA from 1 species
CCUGAGAACCAUAUCACCCUGAACACACCUAAACUUGUCUGAUUUCAGAAGCUAAGCAGGAUUAGCCCUGUUGGGAUGGGAGACCAUCAUCCUGCAUGAAAACUGGAAAGCCACUGCCAGUU